UACGAAGGUCCCAAGCGUUAUCCGGAUUUAUUGGGUUUAAAGGGUGCGUAGGCGGGCUAUUAAGUCAGUGGUGAAAGCUCCCAGCUUAACUGGGAAACUGCCAUUGAUACUGAUAGUCUUGAGUAUGAUUGAAGUGGGCGGAAUGUGUCAUGUAGCGGUGAAAUGCUUAGAUAUGACACAGAACACCGAUUGCGAAGGCAGCUCACUAAGCCAUAACUGACGCUGAUGCACGAAAGCGUGGGGAGCAAACAGGAUUAGAAACCCUCGUAGUCC
rnacentral:rRNA from 1 species